GGAGAGACCAGUGUUCAACGACUCCUCUCCUAUACUGGUAGAACUGGGCCUCACACUGUUACAGAUCAUAGACGUGGAUGAGAAGAACCAGGUUCUGAUGACCAACGCCUGGUUAGAGCUGCACUGGACAGAUACCUACCUCUCCUGGAACCCAGAGAACUACCCAGGUGUUCAGAACCUUCGUUUCCCCUCCAAUCAGAUCUGGGUUCCUGAUAUCCUCCUCUA